rnacentral:rRNA from 1 species
AUUGAACGCUGGCGGAAUGCUUUACACAUGCAAGUCGAGCGGCAGCGCGGGGCAACCUGGCGGCGAGCGGCGAACGGGUGAGUAAUGUAUCGGAACGUGUCCUGUCGUGGGGGAUAGCCCGGUGAAAACCGGAUUAAUACCGCAUACGAUCGAGAGAUGAAAGUGGGGGACCGCAAGGCCUCACGCGAUAGGAGCGGCCGAUAUCUGAUUAGCUAGUUGGUGGGGUAAAGGCCCACCAAGGCUUCGACCAGUAGCUGGUCUGAGAGGAUGAUCGGCCACACUGGGACUGAGACACGGCCCAGACUCCUACGGGAGGCAGCAGUGGGGAAUUUUGGACAAUGUGGGCAACCCUGAUCCAGCCAUUCCGCGUGAGUGAAGAAGGCCUUCGGGUUGUAAAGCUCUUUUGUCCGGGAAGAAACGGUUUUGGCUAAUAACCAAGACUACUGACGGUACCGGAAGAAUAAGGACCGGCUAACUACGUGCCAGCCGCCGCGGUAA